rnacentral:rRNA from 1 species
AUUGAACGCUGGCGGCAGGCUUAACACAUGCAAGUCGAGCGGGCGAGGUUGCUUCGGUAAUUGAGCUAGCGGCGGACGGGUGAGUAAAGCUUAGGAAUCUGCCUAUUAGUGGGGGACAACAUUUCGAAAGGGAUGCUAAUACCGCAUACGUCCUACGGGAGAAAACAGGGGAUCACUUGUGACCUUGCGCUAAUAGAUGAGCCUAAGUCGGAUUAGCUAGUUGGUGGGGUAAAGGCCUACCAAGGCGACGAUCUGGAGCGGGUCUGAGAGGAUGAUCCGCCACACUGGGACUGAGACACGGCCCAGACUCCUACGGGAGGCAGCAGUGGGGAAUAUUGGACAAUGGGGGGAACCCUGAUCCAGCCAUGCCGCGUGUGUGAAGAAGGCCUUUUGGUUGUAAAGCACUUUAAGUGGGGAGGAGGCUCUCUUGGUUAAUACCUGAGAAGAGUGGACGUUACCCACAGAAUAAGCACCGGCUAACUCUGUGCCAGCCGCCGCAGUAACAC